rnacentral:lncRNA from 1 species
CUUGAAACUCACUAAGGCCUCUUUCUUGUUGGCCAACUGACCCAAAGAGGCUAACCCCUCCUCAUCUCCUUUUAUGCAGAUAUGGAGGGAGGCUGCCCUGACUUGGGGCACUUCGCAUUGUUGUAGACUUCACUGAGUUAUUCCAUCAAUACUCAAAGUACUAAUAGUCUGGCUACUCCCUCAGGACUGACCAAAGCAAGCAGCCAGGAUGAAAAGAAUCUGAUGAGGUGGAGAUGACUGCUGUGGGGGCAGAGGCUGUCAGGAUGGGAAGGACUUCCUGGGCACACAGCCAGUGCCAGAGUUCCAGGGGUGACCUGUGUUCUUGGAGCACCACGUGGGUGGCAGCACAGAUGUGGCUGAGGAAGGAUGGGGUCUGAGUCCAUCUAAGAUGCUCUCUGUCCUCCCUCGAACCUUGCUUUGUGGGGGCCUCCUGUCCCCACCUCCCCAACCCUUGGAUCAGAUGCUGGUGACCUGCGCACCAUGUUCUGGAGUCACAGACAGUAAGAUCCCGCUGUGGUUAGGAAGGGCCCCUGCCCCCCACCCCACCCCCAGCAUGCCGUUAUCAGGCUGGGCUCGGGGCUGCAUAAAGGCGCUCCCUUAAAGUAAGGUUCAGAGCCAGGAUAACUUUGUAAAUGGUCACAAGGCCCCACCUUGACCAACUCAAGGAGUGUUCUCUCUCUUGAAGCUUGUUUCCCACAUUCUGGAAAAGGAGAGGGGCUUCAGGGUCUGUUUUUAUAAAAGCCCCCUGACUCCCCACAUCAGAGCAGGGAUUCUGUUAAGUGUGUUCACUUCGGUCACUCUGACCUAUGGCAGGGCCCCCAAAUGGACUCCUGACUGGAGGCAUGAAUUCUGAGUCUGGGCAGCUCC